GAUGAAGAACGUAGCGAAAUGCGAUAAGUAAUGUGAAUUGCAGAAUUCAGUGAAUCAUCGAAUCUUUGAACGCACCUUGCACCCUUUGGUAUUCCGAAGGGUAUGCUCGUUUGAGUGUCAUUGUACUCUCACACUUCUAAUUCCUUUCGGGAUUGGGAGCGGUGGACUUGGGUGUUGCUGCUUUAGUUGUGGCUCACCUCAAAUAAGUUAGUGCAACUCUUGGUUGGACAUAGUACGGCGUGAUAAGUGUCUUCGCCGGCGCCUCUGUAGAGGGUGGCUGAUCGGGAGCUCUGCUUCAAACCGUCCUCGGACAACAACUGACAACUUGACCUCAAAUCGAGUAGGACUACCCGCUGAACUUAAGCAUAUCAAUAAGCGGAGGA
rnacentral:misc_RNA from 1 species